rnacentral:lncRNA from 1 species
UCCAGAGACAGAGUGAGCGCGCGCAGGGGCUCCGGCUCUCUGCGGUGCACAUUUACCUCGAAGCCUAGGAACCCGGUGGGAGGCAGGAGCCAGAGACCGCUCAGUUCACACCAUCCCAAGUCUCAAGGUGGGGGCACUCCUCAGAGAUGCUCCGAGGCAUGUACCUCACGCGCAAUGGCAACCUACAGAGGCGGCACACCAUGAAGGAGUAGGUGCCCCUCGCUCCAGCCCACGGCCUCCUGCGCCCCAAGUUUGCAGGGGUUGUUGUGGACUAAGCUGAUCAACCCUCUUCUCUGCUUCCAGAGCCAAGGAUAUGAAGAAUAAGCUGGCCAUCUUCAGGCGGCGGAAUGAAUCUCCUGGGGCCCAGCCAGCCGGCAAGGCAGACAAGACAACCAAGUCCUUCAAGCCUACCUCCGAGGAAGCCCUCAAGUGGAGCGAGUCCCUGGAAAAGCUGCUGCUUCAUAAAUAUGGCUUAGAAGUGUUCCAGGCCUUUCUUCGCACAGAGUUCAGUGAGGAGAACCUGGAGUUUUGGCUGGCUUGUGAGGAUUUCAAGAAGGUCAAAU